GAUGAACGCUAGCUACAGGCUUAACACAUGCAAGUCGAGGGGAAACGACAUCGAAAGCUUGCUUUUGAUGGGCGUCGACCGGCGCACGGGUGAGUAACGCGUAUCCAACCUGCCCAUCACUUGGGAAUAACCUUGCGAAAGUAAGACUAAUACCCAAUGACAUCCCACGAAGACAUCUGAAUGGGAUUAAAGAUUUAUCGGUGAUGGAUGGGGAUGCGUCUGAUUAGCUUGUUGGCGGGGUAACGGCCCACCAAGGCAACGAUCAGUAGGGGUUCUGAGAGGAAGGUCCCCCACAUUGGAACUGAGACACGGUCCAAACUCCUACGGGAGGCAGCAGUGAGGAAUAUUGGUCAAUGGGCGAGAGCCUGAACCAGCCAAGUAGCGUGCAGGAUGACGGCCCUAUGGGUGGUAAACUGCUUUUAUAAGGGAAUAAAGUGGGUCUCGCGAGACUUUUUGCAUGUACCUUAUGAAUAAGGACCGGCUAAUUCCGUG
rnacentral:rRNA from 1 species